GCUCCUAUUCUGGAGAAUUUACUGAAAAAUUUCCAAAAGUCCUUCCCCACUUUAAAGUUUCCGCCCUUACCCGAUCGGGGAGACUUCGAUCUCAAGGACGUCCUGCAAUCUUCCUAUUUCUUCAAUUAGUGCAGCCUAGAUACUUCAGUCGGAUGCUCUUUCUCAUAUGUGCUACACGUCUGUGGCUGACAUACAGUCCUGUCUACGACUCUUGAAAUCAGACUCUGGAGGCGAGUUUGCUACUUCGAGGUCAGUGCUGUCCAGCUACUUGUACAUAACACAUUCUCCAACCAUUGGUAGUCUAAAUCUUGGAACUUGGGAGUUCAAUCUGCCAUUCACGUAUUCAACUUUUACCUUACAAAAUAAAGAUAGGUUAUAUUUGGAAGCUACGGAAUUUCUACCUUCAUUGUACUCUGAUCCGGACUUAAGUUCUGACACUGCAAUCAAUUAGAGGUUCAGCGAUGCUGAGAGACAUGGCUUUCAAAGUGUGAUCAAUGAAGUAAGAUCUCGGUGUAAUCUCCCAAAGAUCAGUUGGAGUGUUGCCAUUUAGUUUUCAUAGGAUCAUGGCUUAACUUCAUGACAAAAGGAAGAAUGGGCUGCUGAGAAGAAAGUCGUGGUGCAUACUCAUACCAUAGCGAGGUAUUGCAGGUUGUUUCAUUCCCAAAAAUAAGGAAAAAUGAAGAAGAUUGUUGUUCUAGAAAUACCAGUAAAUUUUAGUCUAUGCCGAUUGUAUUCAAUUUUUUAAACAAGGCUGACAUUGGAUGACGACUCUAUAUAGUACUGGGGAUGGCUGGCAUUCCCUUGCUCGCAGGUGUACAGAAUUUACAGAUGAAUUUGUUAAAUCGAUUAUGGUUGUUUGGAAUUAUUCUACUUGCGGAUGAACUUAACUUCCUUUUGGAGCUCUUUUUCUUAGUUAGAAACAGAAGGCGAUGCAGAAACGAAGUGCCUUCUGAAUCCCCACCUGCUACUAAAAAUUUCCUUUGUAUUCUGAAGCUUUCAUGGCCGACUGUCUGAUUCAGCUGCUACUAUUAUACUUCCCUGGAGCAAAAAUUCAUU